rnacentral:lncRNA from 7 species
CACAGCGACAGCCGGGUUUUCACCCUCAAACACCAAACAAAAACAGGAGAUACAGUCGCAGAUCCUGAGAUGCCCAAAUCAGGCAAUGGAGAAGAGCCCUGCAUACCUGGGACCCCCCAAGCCAGCCUCUCCAUGACAGACAGGCUGAGGGGAAAGCAACAAAGAACUUCCUAAGGACAUUGGGUUCUACUCCUUUAGAUGAUCUCCUGGUAGCUGGCCCCAGGGCUCAGAAUCCUCAGAGAAUUGGGACAGAGUUUGCAUACUUGAAGCUUCCUGCUUCCUCCCCGGCCCAGCUCAAAGAUGAAGUUCUCUAUCACUAAGUCUACCUGUUUCCCUAUCCCAGAUGAGGGGGCUUCAAAACACUUAGAGUAAACCCUUGACUUUUAGGGAUUUGCUGCUACAACUGUAAUAAUGAAAUGACUGGAAUUACCACUUUCUAUCCGACUAAAGAAAGGAAUCUGAAACUCUGCCCUACAGUGAUCUGAGCAUG